GGGUUGUGAGGUUAAGCGACUAAGCGUACACGGUGGAUGCCCUGGCAGUCAGAGGCGAUGAAGGACGUGCUAAUCUGCGAAAAGCGUCGGUAAGGUGAUAUGAACCGUUACAGCCGGCGAUGUCCGAAUGGGGAAACCCAGUGCAAUUCGUUGCACUAUCGUUUGAUGAAUACAUAGUCAAACGAGGCGAACCGGGGGAACUGAAACAUCUAAGUACCCCGAGGAAAAGAAAUCAACCGAGAUUCCCCCAGUAGCGGCGAGCGAACGGGGAGCAGCCCGGAGUCUGAAUCAGCUUGUGUGUUAGUGGAAGCGUCUGGAAAGUCGCAGGGUACAGGGUGAUACUCCCGUACACUAAAACACACAGGCUGUGAACUCGAAGAGUAGGGCGGGACACGUGGUAUCCUGUCUGAAUAUGGGGGGACCAUCCUCCAAGGCUAAAUACUCCUGACUGACCGAUAGUGAACCAGUACCGUGAGGGAAAGGCGAAAAGAACCCCGGCGAGGGGAGUGAAAAAGAACCUGAAACCGUGUACGUACAAGCAGUAGGAGCCCACUUGUUGGGUGACUGCGUACCUUUUGUAUAAUGGGUCAGCGACUUAUAUUCUGUAGCAAGGUUAACCGUAUAGGGGAGCCGCAGGGAAACCGAGUCUUAACUGGGCGUUAAGUUGCAGGGUAUAGACCCGAAACCCGGUGAUCUAGCCAUGGGCAGGUUGAAGGUUGGGUAACACUAACUGGAGGACCGAACCGACUAAUGUUGAAAAAUUAGCGGAUGACUUGUGGCUGGGGGUGAAAGGCCAAUCAAACCGGGAGAUAGCUGGUUCUCCCCGAAAGCUAUUUAGGUAGCGCCUCGUGAACUCAUCUUCGGGGGUAGAGCACUGUUUCGGCUAGGGGGUCAUCCCGACUUACCAACCCGAUGCAAACUACGAAUACCGAAGAAUGUUAUCACGGGAGACACACGGCGGGUGCUAACGUCCGUCGUGAAGAGGGAAACAACCCAGACCGCCAGCUAAGGUCCCAAAGUCAUGGUUAAGUGGGAAACGAUGUGGGAAGGCCCAGACAGCCAGGAUGUUGGCUUAGAAGCAGCCAUCAUUUAAAGAAAGCGUAAUAGCUCACUGGUCGAGUCGGCCUGCGCGGAAGAUGUAACGGGGCUAAACCAUGCACCGAAGCUGCGGCAGCGACACUAUGUGUUGUUGGGUAGGGGAGCGUUCUGUAAGCCGUUGAAGGUGGCCUGUGAGGGUUGCUGGAGGUAUCAGAAGUGCGAAUGCUGACAUAAGUAACGAUAAUGCGGGUGAAAAACCCGCACGCCGGAAGACCAAGGGUUCCUGUCCAACGUUAAUCGGGGCAGGGUGAGUCGACCCCUAAGGCGAGGCCGAAAGGCGUAGUCGAUGGGAAACAGGUUAAUAUUCCUGUACUUGGUGUUACUGCGAAGGGGGGACGGAGAAGGCUAUGUUGGCCGGGCGACGGUUGUCCCGGUUUAAGCGUGUAGGUGUGUGUUCCAGGUAAAUCCGGUUCACUUUAACACUGAGGCGUGAUGACGAGGCACUACGGUGCUGAAGUGACAAAUGCCCUGCUUCCAGGAAAAGCCUCUAAGCAUCAGGUAACAUCAAAUCGUACCCCAAACCGACACAGGUGGUCAGGUAGAGAAUACCAAGGCGCUUGAGAGAACUCGGGUGAAGGAACUAGGCAAAAUGGUGCCGUAACUUCGGGAGAAGGCACGCUGAUAUGUAGGUGAAGUGAUUUACUCAUGGAGCUGAAAUCAGUCGAAGAUACCAGCUGGCUGCAACUGUUUAUUAAAAACACAGCACUGUGCAAACACGAAAGUGGACGUAUACGGUGUGACGCCUGCCCGGUGCCGGAAGGUUAAUUGAUGGGGUUAUCCGUAAGGAGAAGCUCUUGAUCGAAGCCCCGGUAAACGGCGGCCGUAACUAUAACGGUCCUAAGGUAGCGAAAUUCCUUGUCGGGUAAGUUCCGACCUGCACGAAUGGCGUAAUGAUGGCCAGGCUGUCUCCACCCGAGACUCAGUGAAAUUGAACUCGCUGUGAAGAUGCAGUGUACCCGCGGCAAGACGGAAAGACCCCGUGAACCUUUACUAUAGCUUGACACUGAACACUGGUCCUUGAUGUGUAGGAUAGGUGGGAGGCUUUGAAGCGUGGACGCCAGUCUGCGUGGAGCCAUCCUUGAAAUACCACCCUUUAAUGGCUGGUGUUCUAACGUGGGCCCGUAAUCCGGGUUGCGGACAGUGUCUGGUGGGUAGUUUGACUGGGGCGGUCUCCUCCUAAAGAGUAACGGAGGAGCACGAAGGUCAGCUAAUCCUGGUCGGACAUCAGGAGGUUAGUGCAAUGGCAUAAGCUGGCUUGACUGCGAGCGUGACGGCGCGAGCAGGUGCGAAAGCAGGUCAUAGUGAUCCGGUGGUUCUGAAUGGAAGGGCCAUCGCUCAACGGAUAAAAGGUACUCCGGGGAUAACAGGCUGAUACCGCCCAAGAGUUCAUAUCGACGGCGGUGUUUGGCACCUCGAUGUCGGCUCAUCACAUCCUGGGGCUGAAGUAGGUCCCAAGGGUAUGGCUGUUCGCCAUUUAAAGUGGUACGCGAGCUGGGUUUAGAACGUCGUGAGACAGUUCGGUCCCUAUCUGCCGUGGGCGCUGGAGAAUUGAGGGGGGCUGCUCCUAGUACGAGAGGACCGGAGUGGACGCAUCACUGGUGUUCGGGUUGUCAUGCCAAUGGCAUUGCCCGGUAGCUAAAUGCGGAAGAGAUAAGUGCUGAAAGCAUCUAAGUACGAAACUUGCCCCGAGAUGAGUUCUCCCUGACUCCUUGAGAGUCCUGAAGGAACGUUGAAGACGACGACGUUGAUAGGCCGGGUGUGUAAGCGCAGCGAUGCGUUGAGCUAACCGGUACUAAUGAACCGUGAGGCUUAACCUUACAACGCCGAAG
rnacentral:rRNA from 1 species